AUUGAACGCUGGCGGCAUGCUUUACACAUGCAAGUCGAACGGUAACAGGCCUUCGGGUGCUGACGAGUGGCGAACGGGUGAGUAAUGCAUCGGAACGUACCCAGAGGUGGGGGAUAACGCAGCGAAAGCUGUGCUAAUACCGCAUGUGAUCUGAGGAUGAAAGCGGGGGACCGAGCAGCAAUGUUUGGCCUCGCGCCUUUGGAGCGGCCGAUGUCGGAUUAGCUAGUUGGUGGGGUAAAGGCCUACCAAGGCGACGAUCCGUAGCUGGUCUGAGAGGACGACCAGCCACACUGGGACUGGGACACGGCCCAGACUCCUACGGGAGGCAGCAGUGGGGAAUUUUGGACAAUGGGCGCAAGCCUGGUCCAGCAAUGCCGCGUGCGGGAAGAAGGCCUUCGGGUUGUAAACCGCUUUUGGCAGGAACGAAACGGUGUCCGCUAAUACCGGGCGCUAAUGACGGUACCUGCAGAAUAAGCACCGGCUAACUACGUG
rnacentral:rRNA from 1 species